rnacentral:rRNA from 1 species
GACGAACGCUGGCGGCGUGCUUAACACAUGCAAGUCGAACGGAAAGGCCCUGCUUUUGUGGGGUGCUCGAGUGGCGAACGGGUGAGUAACACGUGAGUAACCUGCCCUUGACUUUGGGAUAACUUCAGGAAACUGGGGCUAAUACCGGAUAGGAGCUCCUGCUGCAUGGUGGGGGUUGGAAAGUUUCGGCGGUUGGGGAUGGACUCGCGGCUUAUCAGCUUGUUGGUGGGGUAGUGGCUUACCAAGGCUUUGACGGGUAGCCGGCCUGAGAGGGUGACCGGCCACAUUGGGACUGAGAUACGGCCCAGACUCCUACGGGAGGCAGCAGUGGGGAAUAUUGCACAAUGGGCGGAAGCCUGAUGCAGCAACGCCGCGUGCGGGAUGACGGCCUUCGGGUUGUAAACCGCUUUCGCCUGUGACGAAGCGUGAGUGACGGUAAUGGGUAAAGAAGCACCGGCUAACUACGUGCCAGCAGCCGCGGUGAUACGUAGGGUGCGAGCGUUGUCCGGAUUUAUUGGGCGUAAAGGGCUCGUAGGUGGUUGAUCGCGUCGGAAGUGUAAUCUUGGGGCUUAACCCUGAGCGUGCUUUCGAUACGGGUUGACUUGAGGAAGGUAGGGGAGAAUGGAAUUCCUGGUGGAGCGGUGGAAUGCGCAGAUAUCAGGAGGAACACCAGUGGCGAAGGCGGUUCUCUGGGCCUUUCCUGACGCUGAGGAGCGAAAGCGUGGGGAGCGAACAGGCUUAGAUACCCUGGUAGUCCACGCUGUAAACGGUGGGUACUAGGUGUGGGGUCCAUUCCACGGGUUCCGUGCCGUAGCUAACGCUUUAAGUACCCCGCCUGGGGAGUACGGCCGCAAGGCUAAAACUCAAAGGAAUUGACGGGGCCCCGCACAAGCGGCGGAGCAUGCGGAUUAAUUCGAUGCAACGCGUAGAACCUUACCUGGGUUUGACAUGGAUCGGGAGUGCUCAGAGAUGGGUGUGCCUCUUUUGGGGUCGGUUCACAGGUGGUGCAUGGCUGUCGUCAGCUCGUGUCGUGAGAUGUUGGGUUAAGUCCCGCAACGAGCGCAACCCUUGUUCACUGUUGCCAGCACGUUAUGGUGGGGACUCAGUGGAGACCGCCGGGGUCAACUCGGAGGAAGGUGGGGAUGACGUCAAGUCAACAUGCCCCUUAUGUCCAGGGCUUCACGCAUGCUACAAUGGCUGGUACAGAGAGUGGCGAGCCUGUGAGGGUGAGCGAAUCUCGGAAAGCCGGUCUCAGUUCGGAUUGGGGUCUGCAACUCGACCUCAUGAAGUCGGAGUCGCUAGUAAUCGCAGAUCAGCAACGCUGCGGUGAAUACGUUCCCGGGGCU